UUCACAUCUUCAACAUAAGAUUUCUCCUCCAUUUUAAGCCCGAAUUAAGUGAUUCAUAAGGCUAACUUCAAGAGAAUUUCGUGGGGAAUCUAGAGGUGAUCUCAGGAACGCGAGGGGAGGCUUCGUUUGAGUGGGGAAGCAUUUGGAGACCGUUCGGAGGGGAAAAGUUCUGGUACCGUGAGUUGGAGCACGUGUGGUCGGCUUUCAGGUCCGAGCACUAGUAGCCAACGUUGAUCGAGCUUGGAGUAGACUUAUCCGGAGACGGGGGUGAGCACACGUCGUUUUGUAUUAUUUAAGUCUCCAUCUGUAUAUAUAGACUUGUCUUUUUCCUUUCGAGACAGUCCAGUCUCUGUUGUCCAGUUUUGGGACUUGUACUCAUUUUGUAAUAGCUCU